rnacentral:rRNA from 1 species
GACGAACGCUGGCGGCGUGCUUAACACAUGCAAGUCGAGCGGUAAGGCCCUUUCGGGGGUACACGAGCGGCGAACGGGUGAGUAACACGUGGGUGACCUGCCUUUAGCUCUGGGAUAAGCCUGGGAAACCGGGUCUAAUACCGGAUAUGACUCCGCGGCGCAUGUUGUGGGGUGGAAAGCCUUGUGCGGCUGGAGAUGGGCCCGCGGCCUAUCAGCUUGUUGGUGGGGUGAUGGCCUACCAAGGCGACGACGGGUAGCCGGCCUGAGAGGGCGACCGGCCACACUGGGACUGAGACACGGCCCAGACUCCUACGGGAGGCAGCAGUGGGGAAUCUUGCGCAAUGGGCGCAAGCCUGAGGGAGCAACGCCGCGUGCGGGACGACGGCCUUCGG